UACGUAAAAUUUCGAGCUGUAAAAAGAUAUAUUUAAACUAAUAUUUACAAGAUUGUUUCGUUUUUAUAAUUAAACUAAUAGCAUAUUGCUGGUUAAUCGCUAAUAUCAUUUAUAUAGUUGCUGAUAAAGAAAAAAAUACUGAUAAAGCGUUUUUGAAAUACAAAAUGAAGUAUUUGACCGCAGUAUUGUUUGUUCUUUCUUUUCUCCUAAUUGAGUCCGGACCAAUUGGAUACGCAAUUUGUCAAACAGGUUGCAAUGCAUUAUGGGUUGCAUGUGUUUCAGCUGCUGGAGGAAUUGCAGGUGUGACAACUGGCGGUACUGGUGUGCCUGCAGCAAUUUUAUCAUGCAAUGCUGGGCAAGGAAUAUGUAUGUCAUGUUGUGUUGCAGCAGGACUAACACCUAUACUUUAAGAAAUAUAAUUACUUAAUACUAUUGAAGGUUUUGAAGCUAAAGCUCUUAAAGCAUUUAAUUUUAUGAACGAAUUUUAAAUGCAUUGUAAAUAUAAAAAUUUUGUUAAAUGGUUAUUAUUAAAUGUAAAUACAAUAAUUAACAUAAGUGUUUAGUUAAAUAAUUUUGAGCUGUAAAUGUUUUUUUAAAUGAUUAUUGUUACUUUAUAAAAAAUCAUUAGUUGGGGCUUGUUUAUUUAAAUAUAAUUGUUCAUAUUUAUUUCCAAA
rnacentral:lncRNA from 1 species